AACUCUUCAUUGAUAGUUGAACAAAUUCGUCCUUAAGAAGGGAAAUCUCGUCCUUCAUCAUACUCCCUUAUCAAAGUCAUCACUCAUAUAACACCCCUAACCCGUAUCCGUUGUCAGAACAAGGUUAUGGAGCAUUACCGGAGUUUUCAAAUCAAACGGAUAUAAAUUUCAAACUUUCUAAAUCAUAUUAAUAAACACAUUGAAACCAAUUCAAAACAUACAUAUUGUCCCUUAAACGAGCCAUCGAGGCCCUAAUUACAUGUUAGAAACAAGUCGGG
rnacentral:lncRNA from 1 species